UACUGGUGAUGGUAAUCUUAAGGCUUGUUUCUCGCAGACAUUCGCAGUGGCCACCUAAGAGCGUUCGCCUUAGCCAGGCUUGAGAGCUAAAAUGCUACUUUGCUCCUUCCUUGGAUGCCUGAAAUU